UGAGGUUAACACCUUUAUAGCAAAAUAUCAAGAAAUACGGUUUCGUGUUAAAUGAAACACCAUUGAAUAAUGAAAAAUGAAAUACAAUUUUAAUCUACAGUUAAAUUAGUUAAUUAAUAAAGGUUAAUGUUAAUUAUUGUAAUGUGUCAUAUUGAUUCUUGAAGGAAGAAACAGUAACAGCUGCAACAACGUUAUCAGGCAAGCCAUUCCAUAUAUCAAAUGCACGAUUUAUCAAAUAAUUCUUUCUUACGGUUGUCUUAAAUGGUUCUUUUUUCAGCUUAUAAGAAUGACCUCUAAGUCUGUCAUGAUAUUGAAUUUGCAAGAAAUUGCGUGUUACUCCAGGAAAUAAACCAUGAGUAAGCCGAAAAAUUUGAAUUGCAUCUGCCCUGUUUUGACGAGCACGUAGAUCUGGUAUUUUGAGUAUUUCAAGGCGUUGUUCAUAUGAAACUUGUCUUAAACAGUGUGUCCAUUUAGUUACCAGGUGCUGAGUUCUUUCCAGCAAAUCAAUAUCCUUUAACAAAUAAGGUCUCCAGACUGGAAUGGCAAAUUCCAAAUGCGGCCUUAUGUAAGUGAUGUACACCUUUGAAAUAAAACUGACUGAAGGAUUUGGAAAAACAUGCUUUAGCAAAUAAAACAUUUUACGCGCUCGACCCACUGAUGCUAGACAUUGCUCUGACCAUCCUAACUUAUCAUUUACAAUGACCCCUAGAUCUUUGGUUGAGGUUUUUACACUCAGUAGUGUGCCAUUUAUAUGGUAAAGGUACUUUGGGUUGUUGUGGCCACACUGAAGUACACAGCAUUUUGCAAUAUUCAGUGGUAUUUGCCACUUCUCGCUCCAUUGGAAGAUUAAAUUAAGUUGGUCUUGCAAGUCCGUGACAAGUGGGUUAGCAAAUAACUUAAUAUCAUCCGCAUAUGCUGAAUAGCUGUCCAGUGAAAACAAUAAAUCUGCUGUAUAUAACAAGAAUAAAAUUGGUAUAAGAACUGAUCCCUGUGGGACCCCACUUAAUACUGGUUUAGAGUACGAAAAUUUACCGCAGACUUUGACACAAUAGUUUCGAUUUGAUAGAAACGCUCGGAUCCAAUCAAGCAAAUUUCCUGUUACACCAUAGGACUCCAGUUUUGCUAACAAGAGAUUGUGAGGGACUUUAUCAAAGGCUUUACUAAAAUCAAGAUUUGUGAACGAUAGCAAAUUUGUGACAACCGACCUACCUGGUAAAAAGCCGUGCUGAUGCUCAGCAUGUCGACGUGAGACUUACAGGUCUAUAGUUAGCAGGAUCAAGUUUAUCUUCUGACUUGUACAAAGGCGUGAUUGUUGCUUGCAACCACUCGUAGGGCAAAGUGCCUUGUAAGAAUGAUUUUGUCAUCAUUUUGGCAAGUGGGCCCGACAACGAAGCAGCACAAGUUCUCAGGAGUUUGGGAGGUAUCUGAUCAGGACCUGGAGCUGCAUUUAAUUGAAUGGCACAGAGUUGGCUUUUUACCAGAUCCGAAGUUCCCACUAAAUGUACUUGUAGGCAUAAAUGACGGUAUAUUAUUUUUAAUGUUUAAAUUAUAGGUAGCAGCAAAACUGUCCGCUAAAGUGUUUGC